rnacentral:rRNA from 1 species
UACGGGGGGGGCAAGCGUUGUUCGGAAUUACUGGGCGUAAAGGGUUCGUAGGUGGCUUGCUAAGUCAGACGUGAAAUCCCUCGGCUUAACCGGGGAACUGCGUCUGAUACUGGAUGGCUUGAGAUUGGGAGAGGGAUGCGGAAUUCCAGGUGUAGCGGUGAAAUGCGUAGAUAUCUGGAGGAACACCGGUGGCGAAGGCGGCAUCCUGGACCAACACUGACGCUGAGGAGCGAAAGCCAGGGGAGCAAACGGG